rnacentral:lncRNA from 1 species
UCUGCUUGUGACAUCCCCUUCAUCAUCCAUGAAUGAGGAAAUGUGAGCUUGUCUGGACGCUCUGCAGGACUCCUCAAGCUUGUCCCUCACAGGCACACUCUACAGGAAACGUCUUUUGUACACUUGGCUGGGGCGCUGGGCUCUGGAACCCUCAUGCCAUAAGCAGUUUGGGCAAGGGUAACAGUAAGAUCCCGAGAUGAGGUGGAAAAUGUCUCAUAAGGAAACAAAGCCCAAUGUGGUGGCCACUACAUUUUCUUGUUUCUUGGAAGCUGUGGCUUCAGUCCAGUAGUCUGUUUCUUUGUCACCCAAGAAGGUUUUCAGGGCCAUGUCUAGCCUGUCCCACCCAGGUCCACCUCACUCCUUUGUAAGGAGUCAUCUUUUUAAGCCUGCUUUUACAACGUGACAUCCAAACUUGGUAAAUGAUUCGACAAUCAGGUUUUAGUCCUGUUAAUUUCGUUCUUUUAGAUAUUAAAAUGAUCAUAAACUGUGUGCCUUACAAAUUAAACAUUUUCAAUCAA